AUGUUCCGACGCCUUUCCAACACACUCACCAUGAGCCCAACAGCAGCACUGGCAUCUGGUAUGACCAGCCAGCACCACCAGCUUCAGCAGCGUGCACCGGUGAGCGGCACGUCCAAGGGCAAGGCCAAGCUCAAAGCUGGGAUGCCUCUCAGGCGUAGCCGUAUUACUCAGAUUGCAGAGUCUUGUCUGAAGUCCUCUACUCCUCUGCGGCACCUGUCCCCCAAGGAGCGUCUUCGCGAGGCAAAGCGUGAGGAGCUUGGGCUCAUCUCCAAGGAACGGCAACGUGAGCUUGACGCUGCCAAGGCUAAAGCUAAAGCUAAAUCCAAGGGUGCCAGUGGAGGUGAUGGUGACCGCGUUCUGAUGGGUCCGCCGGGCCUUGACUAUAUCAGUCUUGGUCUGGUGGAUGAGGAGGCUAUCCCUAAGUAUGAGCUGACAGUUGAAGAUGGCCUGCGUCUUGCCAUAGAAUACAGCCAUGUGCUAAUGCGACGACACCGUGCACGUCAAACUGCAGAGUCAACACUCUUGAGGCUCAAGAAGGAGGCCAUUGCUGCACUCCCUGAGAAGCUGCGGGCUGCUGCUAUGGUUCCUGACAUGACCCCGUUCCCUGCAAACCGGUACAUGGCAACACUCACACCACGGAUUGAAGGGUAUAUUGAAAAGGUGCGAGAUGCUGCCAAGAAGUAUUCAGUGAAGGAGAAACUUCGCUGA
rnacentral:rRNA from 1 species